GACGAACGCUGGCGGCGUGCUUAACACAUGCAAGUCGAACGGUGAAGCGCCUUCCUUUUUGGUGGGUGUGGAUGAGUGGCGAACGGGUGAGUAACACGUGAGUAACCUGCCCCCUUCUUCUGGAUAACCGCAUGAAAGUGUGGCUAAUACGGGAUAUUCUGGGUCUGUCGCAUGAUGGGUCUGGGAAAGAUAUUGUUUCGGUGGGGGAUGGGCUCGCGGCCUAUCAGCUUGUUGGUGGGGUGAUGGCCUACCAAGGCGGUGACGGGUAGCCGGCCUGAGAGGGUGGACGGUCACACUGGGACUGAGACACGGCCCAGACUCCUACGGGAGGCAUCAGUGGGGAAUAUUGCACAAUGGGCGCAAGCCUGAUGCAGCGACGCCGCGUGAGGGAUGGAGGCCUUCGGGUUGUGAACCUCUUUCGCCAGUGAAGCAGGCCUGCCUCGUUUGUGGGUGGGUUGACGGUAGCUGGAUAAGAAGCGCCGGCUAACUACGUG
rnacentral:rRNA from 1 species